UGAUAUCCAGAGUGGCUGUGGUCCUAUGUUAAAAACCAGAGAACAAACCAGGAACAAUAAACAGUAGGAGUGUAGUGGAGAGAUACUGCAGUGUGAGAGGUGUUGUGCUGGAGUUCAUUCCCAUCAAGCUCAGAGGCAACUCUCCAUCAUUCUAAGUCACUGUCAGUACGAGUUCUUUCUCAUACUACUCAGAUUAACAGAUCUUGGUGCCAAACUACCCCUUUCCCUUUUUCAUUCAAACUGAAAGUUGGAUUGUCUUGAAGCUCUAUUACUUAGUUUUUAAUAGGGAGUAAUUAUAGCCCAAGCCCCUAAGCCCGCAUAACCUUUACCUAUCAGCCAUUUUUUUAAAUCAGUGCCCAUUUCACACACAUUCUUAGGGCACCAGAAUCUUUUCCACACACUUGGGAGAAAGAGAAACAGAAAUGGAAGUAAAAACAAAGAAUAUUUGUGCAAGAGGAAGAAUGGAGUAUGCAAGACUGGACUAUGACCAGCAGAAAUACAUGUUGUUCCCCCAUCCAACCUUCAAAAGUAUGGAAACAGAGGCAGACAGUAUUUGAAAGUCUCUUCUGGAGCUUGGACAGGGAGAUUGUGGAAUAGGAAAAGCCAUGGGGAGUGUCCCAGAGUGGUUGUUCAUUCAGCUAGAACCAGAGUUGCUGCAAAGCUGCACGGUGUUCCUACUGCACAGCAAUUAAGAGACCCUCAUGGAAUUUGUUUUUUGGUUUCUUUUUAUUUUAUUUUUUUUACCUCUCCAGGGAAACCCUUCACAGGGUUUCACCCAGACACAUUUUUUUGCAGGAUUGGGGAUUAUAAUGUACCUGCCUAAAAAUGUAGUCAUCCAACCCACUCGUGGGGCUGGCUAAAGUGCCCUCACUGCUAGACCAAAGGCACUGCAGGAAAGGCGACUUGAGCCUUUCGUCAACUUUGCAACAUGUUGGGGAUGGCUGGUCAGGUCCUAAAUCACAGCAGUCUCAGGCUUGCUCUUGCUUAUGCUUUCUGCCUCCGCAUCCUGGCGCUGCCGCUGUGACAGCCCAGGCGUAGCACAUCACCCCGCUUCGUGCGUCACCCAGACCGGCUGGUGGCUGAGCGGGCUCUGCACUACCCGUGCGUCCCCUGGCUCUGGGAGACGUUCCGCUGCUCCCAGUCCGGCAGCAUGACGAGGCCAUGGCACAGCGAGGAAAGAGUGGCUCUCGGCUGCUAUGUGAGCACAAGUGGCAACAUUAUCGCUCAGCUGUAGCUUUAAGUUCGCACUGAAGAUACCGCUUGCUAGGAAGCAAAUGCUCAUGUAAUGGAGUCUCAGUAGGUGAAUUUACAUUUGUCAUGUUAAUUACAAAAAGCCCGAUAGUCUAACUUGGGAUCAAGCUAGUUUUAGAUCACUAUAUUGAUAUGCAACAUUAUAUAUAUUAUUAUUAGGGAUAAAGUUAAAGGGAUAGCGUGAUGAAAAUAUAUUUGUAUGGAAAAUAUAAUUAGCUCUAAUGUAAGCAGGUUUAAAAACCAUUAAAAGUGUAUGCAUACUAAAUGGGCACAAAUAGGCAAAAAGACAUGAAUUCUAUUUAUUUUUACAGCUACUGACUCCAUCUCCUUUUAUAAUGUCAAAUGUUAGGAAGUUUUCUUAUUUUUGAAUAAGCUAGCUAGGUGCUUGGAUAAAAACCUUAAAAAGCAGCUUAAGAACUGGGUAAAAGUCUGUGCUAUUUUCUGUUGGUGGGAGAAAAUUCUAUCACUAGAAUCAAUUCAUGUUCUCUGUCAUUAUCUUGUAUUUCACAAUGUAUCUGAAUUUUAAUGCCCAUGAAUGACAACAAUUAAAUCAUGUUGUUUUUCU
ensembl:lncRNA